CCCAGAUACAUCCUUGUGAGGUGGCUGACUUGGCAGAUACAAACUGUGAGAAGAGAUCACUCCUCCUAAAUGCUGUUGGAACUGAAAAUCAACCUCCUAUUCAGCACAUGUAUUUUUACAUGCACAUAUAGAAUCCUACCUGGUUUCCCAGCUACAUUCUUGUGAGGUGUCUGAUUGGCAGGUACAAACUGUGAGAAGAGAUCACACCU
rnacentral:lncRNA from 1 species